rnacentral:lncRNA from 1 species
UGAAAAUUUAAAGUUUUGACCUUUUUGCAUUGUUUCCAUGGUAACUACAGAUAUUUUGGAAAUUCCAACGCCAAAUUCCACAUCUUCCAAUGUUGCUCAUCGUUACUGUGAGGUUUCAUGAAGUUUGGAGCAUUUUGAUAUUUUUGAAAUUUUUGAUGUAGUUUCCAUGGCAACAUAGUAGGUCCAAUGAGUGCCAAAAUCAUUCAACACCUGUAUAUAGUGGGCACCUACAUUGUAUUAAAAUAUGAUGAUUCUGAGUGUAGGCAUAUUCAAACAGUUCACCAAAACAAAAAACAGAAAUUUUUCACAUUUGUUUCGUUUCCAUGGUAACGGCAGCCAUUUUUUACCAUUCCAAUGUCUCUUGCACAACUUCACAUGGCGGUUCAUAUUAUGGUAUAGUUCCAUCAACAUGGGUCUGACCAAUCCUGAGAAAUAGCAUGGACAAAAUGUGUGGAAGAAUAAAAAUAAAAAUAAGAAAAAAAGAACGAACAAUAACAAUAUGUCACCCCAACUCCGUUGAGGGUGCCAUAAUAAUAAGAAAAAAAAAAAGAAACGUAGAAUAACAAUACGUCACCCCAACUCCGUUGAGGGUGCCAUAAAAAAAGAACGUAGAAUAACAAUAUGUCACCCCAACUCCGUUGAGGGUGCCAUAAUAAAAAUAA